rnacentral:misc_RNA from 1 species
GGCAGCAGAUACAAUAUACAUGCAAGGAACGUUGACCUUAUGUCCUGCGCUUUGUGAUUAGGUUGAUAUAAUUCAUGCUAGGAGUGGGUCUGCUUCUCAUGCAGUAGUGUCCUAUGGAUACUCUUACCUGCCCUGGGGUUCCCCCAUUUCGAGGACUUAACACCAGCACGAUCACGAAAUGUUUGUUUGUUUGAAUAUUACAUCCAUGUCAACAUCAAUUUCUAUUUUUCAAAAGCGACGUUGAAACUCGCACAAGAUAUAUAAAACAUCUAGUAUGCUGCAUGGGGACUCGAUCUCAAGUUCCCUCAACUGGCUGAGUGGUCAUUCAGAUUGAAAGUUGCAGAUGGUCAUUAGAGUUACCUCCCUUCAACUGCAAGCUCGCAAGCUCCUUCCUAGCGCUUGACACCUUCGUUACACUCUCGGUAACAUAGUAUAGAGAGCUCCGCGAACGGGCUAUCGCUGUGAGGAGCUUGCCAAGCUCAUGCUGUUCUGAAUGUAAACAUCAUAUUCAGGAAACUUGGAAUUACAGGUGUUGUUGAACAGGCCCUGUCUUUUGCAACGCCAGAGCGGAGGAUAUAUAUCGGUAUAUGGUCUCUGGCCAAAGAUAUAGGACAUUCAACAACUGUAAAUCCAGACAUUUGUCAGAAUA